GACGAACGCUGGCGGCGUGCUUAACACAUGCAAGUCGAACGGAAAGGCCCUGCUUUUGUGGGGUGCUCGAGUGGCGAACGGGUGAGUAACACGUGAGUAACCUGCCCUUGACUUUGGGAUAACUUCAGGAAACUGGGGCUAAUACCGGAUAGGAGCUCCUGCUGCAUGGUGGGGGUUGGAAAGUUUCGGCGGUUGGGGAUGGACUCGCGGCUUAUCAGCUUGUUGGUGGGGUAGUGGCUUACCAAGGCUUUGACGGGUAGCCGGCCUGGGAGGGUGGCCGGCCACAUUGGGACUGAGAUACGGCCCAGACUCCUACGGGAGGCAGCGGUGGGGAAUAUUGCACAAUGGGCGGAAGCCUGAUGCGGCAACGCCGCGUGCGGGAUGACGGCCUUCGGGUUGUAAACCGCUUUCGCCUGUGACGAAGCGUGAGUGACGGUAAUGGGUAAAGAAGCACCGGCUAACUACGUG
rnacentral:rRNA from 1 species